rnacentral:rRNA from 1 species
UCCGCUGAGGGUUAGUCGGGACCUAAGCCGAGGCCGAAAGGCGUAGGCGAUGGACAAUCGGUUGAUAUUCCGAUACCACUACUGAUCGUUAUUAUCGAUGGUGUGACGGAGAAGGAUAGAGUGUGCUAGCUAUUGGAUGCUAGUCUAAGCGUUUAGGGAGUUAGGAAAGGCAAAUCCGUCCUAACAAUUCUGAGGCGUGAUGGGGAAGGUUCUACGGAACCGAAGUACUUGAUUCCAUGCUUCCAAGAAAAGCAUCUAGAGAGAGAUGUAGUGCCCGUACCGCAAACCGACACAGGUAGAUGAGGAGAGAAUCCUAAGGCCGGCGGAAGAAUCACAGUUAAGGAACUAGGCAAAUUGACCCCGUAACUUAGGGAGAAGGGGUGCCUGUGAGAGCAGGCCGCAGAGAAUAGGCCCAAGCAACUGUUUAGCAAAAACACAGGUCUCUGCUAAAGCGAAAGCUGAUGUAUAGGGGCUGACGCCUGCCCGGUGCUGGAAGGUUAAGGGGAACACUUAGCGCAAGCGAAGGUGUGAACUUAAGCCCCAGUAAACGGCGGCCGUAACUAUAACGGUCCUAAGGUAGCGAAAUUCCUUGUCAGGUAAGUUCUGACCCGCACGAAUGGCGUAAUGACUUGGGCACUGUCUCAACUGUGAAUCCGGCGAAGUUGUAGUGCGAGUGAAGAUGCUCGCUACCCGCGAUUGGACGGAAAGACCCCGUAGAGCUUUACUGUAGCUUAGCAUUGAAUUUCGGUAUUGUCUGUACAGGAUAGGUGGGAGACUGGGAAAUCAGGGCGUCAGCCUUGAUGGAGUCGUCCUUGGGAUACCACCCUGACAGUACUGAGGUUCUAACUGGAUGCCAUGAAUCUGGUGACAGGACAUUGUUAGGUGGGCAGUUUGACUGGGGCGGUCGCCUCCUAAAAAGUAACGGAGGCGCCCAAAGGUUCCCUCAGAACGGUCGGAAAUCGUUCGAAGAGUGCAAAGGCAGAAGGGAGCCUGACUGCGACACCCACAAGUGGAGCAGGGACGAAAGUCGGGCUUAGUGAUCCGGUGGUACCUCGUGGGAGGGCCAUCGCUCAACGGAUAAAAGCUACCUCGGGGAUAACAGGCUGAUCUCCCCCAAGAGUCCACAUCGACGGGGAGGUUUGGCACCUCGAUGUCGGCUCGUCGCAUCCUGGGGCUGAAGUAGGUCCCAAGGGUUGGGCUGUUCGCCCAUUAAAGCGGCACGCGAGCUGGGUUCAGAACGUCGUGAGACAGUUCGGUCCCUAUCCGUCGCGGGCGUAGGAAAUUUGAGAGGAGCUGUCCUUAGUACGAGAGGACCGGGAUGGACUGACCUCUGGUGCACCAGUUGUUCCGCCAGGAGCACAGCUGGGUAGCUAAGUCGGGAAGGGAUAAACGCUGAAAGCAUCUAAGCGUGAAGCCCACCUCAAGAUGAGAUUUCCCAUAGCAUAAGCUAGUAAGACCCCUUGAAGAACACGAGGUUGAUAGGUCAGAGGUGUAAGUGCAGUAAUGUAUGUAGCUGACUGAUACUAAUAGGUCGAGGGCUUGACCAA